rnacentral:rRNA from 1 species
UACAGAGGGUGCGAGCGUUGUCCGGAAUCACUGGGCGUAAAGGGCGCGUAGGUGGCGACCCAAGUCUGUGGUGAAAGCUCGAUGCUCAACAUCGAGUCGGCCACGGAGACUGGGUGGCUCGAGCACUGUAGGGGCAGAUGGAAUUCCGGGUGUAGCGGUGGAAUGCGUAGAGAUCCGGAAGAACACCGGAGGCGAAGGCGGCUUGCUGGGCGUGAUCUGACGCUGAGGCGCGAAAGCGUGGGGAGCGAACAGG